rnacentral:misc_RNA from 1 species
AACUUUCAGCAACGGAUCACUUGGCUCUCGCAUCGAUGAAGAACGCAGCGAAAUGCGAUACGUAAUGUGAAUUGCAGAAUUCAGUGAAUCAUCGAAGCUUUGAACGCACCUUGCGCCCCUUGGAAUUCCGAGGGGCACACCCGUUUGAGUGUCGUGAACAUCCUUCAACCUUUCUUGGUUUCUUAACCGGGGAAGGCUUGGACUUUGGGGGUCUUUCAUUGCUGGCCUCUUUGAAGCCAGCUCCUCCUAAAUGGAUUAGUGUGGUCUGCUUUGCCGAUCCUUGACGUGAUAAGAUGUUUCUACGUCUUGGGUUUCGCACUGUCGCUUUAGACCCCGCUUCUAACCGUCUUGCAUUCAAGACAGAGUUUUAAACCUUGACCUCAAAUCGGGUGAGACUACCCGCUGAACUUAAGCAUAUCAAUAAGCGGAGGCU